rnacentral:tRNA from 1 species
UCCCUGAUAGUCCAGUGGCUAAGACUCGUCGCUCCUAAUGCUUGUGGCCUGGGUUCGAUCCCUGGUCAGGGAA